GGACGGGUGAGUAAUGUCUGGGAAACUGCCUGAUGGAGGGGGAUAACUACUGGAAACGGUAGCUAAUACCGCAUAAUGUCGCAAGACCAAAGAGGGGGACCUUCGGGCCUCUUGCCAUCGGAUGUGCCCAGAUGGGAUUAGCUAGUAGGUGGGGUAACGGCUCACCUAGGCGACGAUCCCUAGCUGGUCUGAGAGGAUGACCAGCCACACUGGAACUGAGACACGGUCCAGACUCCUACGGGAGGCAGCAUG
rnacentral:rRNA from 1 species